AAUCAUUCCAUGCUUUCCUCAAUAUUUUUUUCAUUCAGUUCAAAGCUAUGGCAAUGACCUUAAAAGUGUUAGAAGAGAAAUAAUUGGUAUUGUUUCAUAAUUUGUCGUUUACCACCUCAUUGUCAAUAAUUCUUGGUUAUGAUAUUAUUAGCCUAUCAUUUACCAUUUUCUUAAUUUGUGAAGGCAAAACCUGGAAAGGAAUCCCAGGCAAAGGGUUGACCCUGUACUAUAGAAUGAUUAACUGUUUUUCAUCCCACUAGUCAGGAUUAUAGAAAUAUGACUACGCAUCACUCGAGACAAAGGUGCACGCUAUCUUACUUUGAUUCCACAUGUGAUUCUAAUAUAGGAUUCUGGAGUAUUGCCCAACAGAUUUUUAGUUCACUGGUUCUUUCAAUUGGCACCUAUAUCCGGGGCCCAAACGCCCCUCACUAUAGAAUGAUCUUGGGAUACUCUGAUAGUUUUAAGGGAACUGACAAUCGAGUCUAUAGUUGCAAAUAUUUUGUCUCGUAGAGACAGCUGACGUUAGCAGCUUGUUUUGCUUUAUGAACAGGUGUUCCACUUGGGCUCUGUAUAUCGCACUGGCCAUGCGGAUGCAGUGUACAAAUGGAAAAAACCCUGCAGACCCUGAGAAGAAUAAAAGCGGGAGAGAGUCUGUGGUGGGUGAGAGAGGAGAAGUGCACCUUGAAGCAGGGGACGCCCUGCUGGCACUACCUAUCGCACCCACUGCUGCCGUGUUUCUUCUCUCUCCUUUCUGGUGGUUUGCCACCUUUCAAGGCACCUGUUCCGAUAAAGUACAGCUGUGGAGCGUGACUGCCAGGAUUUUUGCCUCAUUCCUAACCCCGGGAGUUGCUGCCGCCCAAGCCUUGAAACAGAUUGAACGUCUAGCGUGCUGGACUGUUAAACAGAGCAAUCAUACUUCAGAGAUCCUCGAAGAAAUGUUAGAAGAUAUGAACAGCCUUCGUCAUGCUGUGCUCCAGAAUCGAGCCGCAAUAGACUUUCUUUUACUUGCUCAAGGGCAUGGCUGUAAAGAGUUUGAUGGAAUGUGUUGUUUUAAUCUUUCUGAUCAUAGCAAAUCAAUUCAAAAACAAAUUCAUUGGUUGCUUAAUCACACUCGAUCCAUUACUGAGGAUCAUAAUCCUAUUGAUGAUUGGUUGCAUUCUGUGUUUCCAGGUCUUGCUCCUUGGAUAUAUGAUAUCAUUAAGGAAAGGUUUCAAAUGGGUUUUAAUCAUUAUUCUACUUGUGAUAGUUGCUAGAAUAUUGUAUAGUUGUCUGCUGCGUGCUACCGCGCCAAAAGCUGCGCUUGUUGUGACUGACAACAAGGAUUCGGACAUCAUUCGUGAUUGGCUACAAAAUCAAGGGGGGCACAAUCCUAAGGAUUGUUUUGCCUUACAACCCUAAAAGAAAAAGGGGGGAAUUGUUGGGAAACAGCUUGCUUGGCAGCGCUUGGCAGCACGUAG
rnacentral:lncRNA from 1 species